UUCUUUCCCUCUCCUUCUUCUCUCUUCACUCUCUCUACGCCGCCCCAGCUCCGCCCACCGCCGUCUGCCGGAAAUCGCCGCCGCCGGCGGACCACCUCCAAAUUCACGCCACGUAAUCUUCACAACUUCCUCUUUCCAUAUCUCCAAACCAAAUCCUAAAAAAUCCCUCAAACUCCUUGAAUCUUAGAUCUAGGAAAUUUUUCCAUCACUUUUUUGCCCAAAUUCUUGAAGCUCCAACCACUACCACCCCAAAAUACCUACAUCAAUGGAUAGAGCUCCUUAAGACCUAGCUAUUGACGUCAAUUCUACCCUAAAAGUCCGGCAACCAAAAUCCGGCCUAAUUCCGGCGACCUUCUGGAACACCCUCUUUGGCAUACCACCAUUUUUUCGGCAUUUUGAUGAGUAAAAUGGUAAAAUACUAUUCUUUUUCAUGGCUGAUUCUUUUUAUUUUUAAUUUUAAUUUUUAGAUUUUAUUUUUGUCUAUUAUUAAUUAUUUUAGCAUUAGUUUUUGAAGUUUGAAAUGUUAAAUUUUCUGUUUUUGCACUUAUUGAAGUAGUAAAAUAGUUUUGUAUUGAUAAAAGUGAGGUAAUGAAAAAUACUUAAGAGUAUAUGGUACUUGUUUGGUUGUUUGUUUACUGCUUCAAGACUCUUUGAGUACAACACUCAAAAGUCAAAUUGUUUGGUAAGAAAAUGUAGAUAUUUGGAUAUUAUUUGAAUAAAGUCUAUCUUUGAAUAGCGGAUAGUAGAUUUUGUUUGAAAUACUUGACAAGAUUUGAAUUAGAAAGUUUUGCUUUUUGAAUUUAAGAGCAGAUUUUAUCGAAAAAUCUGUCAAAAAGAUUGAUUUUUUUAAUUUUUUGAAACAACAGGUUGUUUUGAUAUAUAGAGGGGACUCUAUCACAUUUUGGAAGGGGAUCAUUUUCUUCUUUUGAACAUACAACAACAAAAAAAAAUAGCAGCCGAAGCAUCCUUUAGUAAGCUGAAAUUGUAAGUCUUAAGAGUGAAUCUUAAAGUGCAAACCUUUUUUUUAGAAAAGUAUAAGUCCUCUUUAGAGUUUGCUUCUGGGUUUCUUCUCUGAGUUUUCGAGCUGCUUUAACACGGAUUUGAUGUUGGUUUUGCUACUAUUGUGCUGCUAUUUUUAUGUUGCUUUAGUUGCUGAGCUUUCAUUCUUUGUUGCUGUAUUUAUUAUUCUGCGACUCAAGUAACUCUUUAAUCUUAUGUUGCAGAUGUUUUCACAUUAACAAGAAGAUUUGAACUCAUCUUGAUUGUUGGGAGCAUGUCCAUUUAAAUAAAUGAGUG
rnacentral:lncRNA from 1 species